rnacentral:rRNA from 1 species
UACGGGGGGAGCAAGCGUUGUUCGGAUUUACUGGCGUAAAGGGCGCGUAGGCGGUCAGCACAAGUCAGUUGUGAAAUCUCCGGGCUUAACUCGGAAAGGUCAACUGAUACUGUGCGACUAGAGUGCAGAAGGGGCAACUGGAAUUCUCGGUGUAGCGGUGAAAUGCGUAGAUAUCGGAGAGGAACACCUGCGGCGAAGGCG